rnacentral:lncRNA from 1 species
AGUUUUCGCAGCUAUCUUCCGGCGAACUGCAGCCUCUCCAAUUCGCUGCAGCAAGCAGCAAUCCACAGCAGCGAACCAUAGUCUACAUCUAAUUGCUGUAGAUUUCUCUCACUGCAGUUUCCUUGAGUAACACUGCAGAUUUUCACGGUCAUUUCCCGGCAAACCGCAGUCUUGAGUACCGCUGCAGUUUUCGCAGCCAUCUUCCGGCGAACUGCAGCCUCUACAAUCCGCUGCAACAAACAGCAAUCAACAGCAGCGAACCACAGUCUUGAGAAUCGCUGCAGUUUUCGCGGCCAUCUUUCGGCAAACUGCAGCCUCUACAAUCUGCUGCAGCAAGCUGCAAUCCACAGCAGCUGCCGACAACUUUGGGCACUGUUGUAGAUUGCCCAAUCUGCUGCAGCAAUCUAUAGCAG